CAGUCGCCGCGGUAAUACGUAGGGUGCAAGCGUUAAUCGGAAUUACUGGGCGUAAAGCGUGCGCAGGCGGUUCUAUAAGACAGAUGUGAAAUCCCCGGGCUCAACCUGGGAACUGCAUUUGUGACUGUAGAGCUCGAGUACGGUAUAGGGGGAUGGAAUUCCGCGUGUAGCAGUGAAAUGCGUAGAUAUUGGGAAGAACACCGGUGGCGAAGGCGGCAACCUGGUCCAUGACUGACGCUGAGGCGCGAAAGCGUGGGGAGCAAACAGGAUUAGAUACCCGUGUAGUCCCUGUCUCUUAUAC
rnacentral:rRNA from 1 species